UACGUAGGGUGCGAGCGUUGUCCGGAAUUAUUGGGCGUAAAGAGCUUGUAGGCGGUCUGUCGCGUCUGCUGUGAAAAUCCGGGGCUCAACCCCGGACUUGCAGUGGGUACGGGCAGACUAGAGUGUGGUAGGGGAGACUGGAAUUCCUGGUGUAGCGGUGAAAUGCGCAGAUAUCAGGAGGAACACCGAUGGCGAAGGCGGCUCUCUGGGACGGUACUGACGCUGAGACGCGAAAGCGUGGGGAGCGAACAGG
rnacentral:rRNA from 1 species